GCCGACGUGACGGAACGGUAGACGUACUGCCACAGCAGUCCCAACGGGGUUUCUCCGCUGGGUGCAGGUUCGAUCCCUGCCGUCGGCGCCA
rnacentral:tRNA from 1 species